GGAAUAUUGGUCAAUGGACGCAAGUCUGAACCAGCCAUGCCGCGUGAAGGAUUAAGGUCCUCUGGAUUGUAAACUUCUUUUAUCUGGGACGAAAAAAGGCGAUUCUUCGUCACUUGACGGUACCAGAUGAAUAAGCACCGGCUAACUCCGUGCCAGCAGCCGCGGUAAUACGGAGGGUGCAAGCGUUAUCCGGAUUCACUGGGUUUAAAGGGUGCGUAGGCGGGCAGGUAAGUCAGUGGUGAAAUCCUAGAGCUUAACUCUAGAACUGCCAUUGAUACUAUCUGUCUUGAAUAUUGUGGAGGUAAGCGGAAUAUGUCAUGUAGCGGUGAAAUGCUUAGAUAUGACAUAGAACACCUAUUGCGAAGGCAGCUUACUACGCAUAUAUUGACGCUGAGGCACGAAAGCGUGGGGAUCAAACA
rnacentral:rRNA from 1 species